UACGGAGGGUGCAAGCAUUGAUCGGAAUUACUGGGCGUAAAGGGCGCGUAGGCGGCAUAGAAAGUCGGAUGUGAAAUACCGGGGCUCAACCCCGGGGCUGCAUUUGAAACUUCUAAGCUAGAGUACAGUUAGGGAAAACAGAAUUCCACGUGUAGCGGUGAAAUGCGUAGAUAUGUGGAAGAAUACCGGUGGUGAAGACGGUUUUCUGGGCUGUUACUGACGCUGAGGCGCGAAAGCAUGGGGAGCAAACAGG
rnacentral:rRNA from 1 species